UAAACUAGGAUUAGAUACCCUAUUAUUUUAAAUUUAAAUUUAAAAUACUAAAUGAUUAAUAGUUAUGUUCUUUAAAAUUAAAAAAUUUGGCGGUAUUUUAGUCUUUUCAGAGGAACCUGUCCUAUAAUUGAUAGUCCACGAUUAAAAUUACUUUAAUUUUUAAUUUACAUAUCGUCGUAGAUUGAAUAUUUUAUUAGAAAUUUAAUAUUCAAGAUUUUAAAUUAAAAAUAAAAUCAGAUCAAGGUGUAGUUUAUAUUGAAGAAGAGAUGGGUUACAAUAAAAAUAUUUUAGGAUAUUAUUUUUAAAAUAUGAUUGAAUAUGGAUUUGAUAGUAAUUUUUAUAAUUUAUUUAAAAUGAUUAUGGCUCUAAAAUAUGUACACAUCGCCCGUCGCUCUUAA
rnacentral:rRNA from 1 species